UUUCCGUAGGUGAACCUGCGGAAGGAUCAUUACAGAGUUCAUGCCCUCACGGGUAGAUCUCCCACCCUUGAAUAUUUAUACCUUAGUUGCUUUGGCAGGCCGUGGAAACACCAUGGGCUCCGGCUUAUGCGUGCCUGCCAGAGUGAACAAACUCUGUUUUUAGUGAUGUCUGAGUACUAUAUAAUAGUUAAAACUUUCAACAACGGAUCUCUUGGUUCUG
rnacentral:misc_RNA from 1 species